UGACUGAGCCACCCAGGCGCCCUGUGACUUUCUUUUUAAAUCCUCACAACAAGUCAAUGAAGGACAUAUGAUGUCUCUAUUUUUCAGACAAGGAGCAUGACCAGUAACAGAGACCCAUUAUUGGCCUGUUGUCUGGCUGCCAUGCCACCUGCCCAAGCUUAUUCAGAUAGUAAGUGGGAGAGAGGAGUGGAUGUAAGAAGGCCCAUGUUGAAGGUACUAGACUUGUAUCCUGAUUGUUUUGUUGUUCAGAUAUGUAGUGAAGUAAGGAAAUGUCCUAUUCUGUUACAUGCUUUAGACACACAUUAAUAAAUAGUUGUGUGGUGCCACACUGCAGAACUCUAGGGACACCAUUUUGUACUCUGUGCAAGUGGCAUCCCCGGCGUUGGUCCACAGGGAGGCCCCGGCUGCUUUGGUGGGCGUAUCAUUAGCGUUCUCAACUGUAAGCAACAGGAUAGAAAGCAAGAAAGGAAUUUACUGGAAGGAAAUAGAGCAGUGCACCAGGUCAGUGGGAAGGCUGGAGGAACAGACGUGGAACUACAGGAAGCAGGGCAGCGGGCAGCAGCCAGGGCCCGUUCCAGCAAGGUCUGGCCUGCCGUCAUUCUCCCCGAGCGCUCCCAUGGUGCUGCCGCUGUCUGAAAACGUCCCAGCUGCCCUGACGCUCAGAACACCAGGAUGUGUGCGCGACCUUCUGGCUUCACCACAUGCCCACACCACCUGGGCCAGGAUGCGGGAGAGCGACCCCUUCAGCUUCAGUUGAGCGGCUCCCAGUCGACUUGCACUGUGAAAAAUUCUUCAAAAAUAGGAAGCAUUCUUGAGAAACAGACAAUGAGGAUGAAAAACUCUCUACUACAACCUGUGGCUUCAGCUGUCCAGUACCACAGCCCCUUCUUCCUGGCACUUUAUACCCAACAUAGCACCUGUGCCCCAUAUAGACAAACCCAGAUAUAGCCAUUUCCUCAAAAGGAAAAAAUCUAUAGCCUACCCUCACCCCCUUUAAAAAUCUAAGAUAAGGUUUAUUUUGGGAUAAUUUUAGGUUUACAGAAAAGUGGCAAAGGCAGUGCCGUGGAUUCCAUAUACCUUUUGCCCAGCCUCCCCUGGUGUGAAUAUCUUACAUAACGUAAGAUAUUUGGAAACCCAAGGUCUUUGUUACCUUGAAGUCAGAACUCUCUGUUAAUCCUAUUAUAGCCCUAUCUGGUACUCAGUGGUCCUAGUGCAUCCUGCAUACAGCCAUGGGGGAAAGGGAGAGGAGACAAGAAAUUAGCUAAAAUAAACACACGUGACACGGCAAGAAAGGAAACAGCUGUUUCAGAAGAUGAAGGGAAAGUUCAGGCUGGCAAAAAAAAAGUAGGAAGCUGGAUGAAGCUGAGUGUGUGCAGACACAUGGACACAGGACCCAGUGAUGGAGACGGCCUCAGUCCUGUCCGCACUUGCAUGUCUGGCCAAUCCAAGGCUCUGCUGAUACCUGACUCUUGAUAUCAACCUAGAGGCAAUGAGGAGUAGGGGGUAGGUCCUGAGGAGGCCAAACAUCAUCAUUCAAGGCAUCCACCUCAGUAUUACUCAUCCUGCAUCUGGGCCUGAUUUUCACAUAAGACCUGCUGAGGCUGUACGUGCAGACUCCUUUGCAUUCUGCCCUGUGCCGACAGAAGAUAAGAUUCUCUGGCUUUCAUAUGUUUUCUGAAGUUGGAGGAUGACUAUCAUUUAAUUUUUGUAAACCAACAUGCUAUUGAAUUUCAUCCAAGUGCUAGAGGGGAAACUAGUUCAGGUGGGUCACUGACCAAGAGAAAUAAACAAGAGUACUUGAGACUCUUAAGAAGGUACACAGUUUCCUUCCCAGUAUGGACAUCACAUCUGCAACUACAGAAGGUAUUUCCUUUGCAAGUACACACAGAACAUUUUAAAAGAAAAAAAAUAUAUGCUGGGAAGUAAAUCAU